AAUGGCCUCACACCAGGAGUGGCGACCAGCUGAAUUUAAGCAUAUUACUAAGCAGAGGAAAAACAACUAACCAGGAUUCCCUCAGUGAAGAGGUAAGAGACCAGUGCCAAAACCCCAUCUGGUGGUGGGCGCCAGAAAUGUGGCAUACAGAAGAACAACUCUGCGUUGUCUCUCAGGAAGCCCAUGCUCUUCUGAUCAGGGCUCACUCCAUGGCCAGUAUCGGCCCCUAGCGUGCCAGGAUUGAGUCAUCUCGGACUUGGGUUGCUUGGGAAUGCAGCCCAAAGUCAGUGGUAACCUCUAUCUAAGGAUAAAUACAGGUACGAGACCGAUAGCCAGCAAAUACCAUAAGAGAUUGUUGAAAAGAACUUGGAAGAUACAAUUCAAGAAGGUGUGAAACCGUUGUGAGCUAAACAGGUGUUGUUUGUGCAGUCUAACUGGAGAGUUCACCACAGCAGAGAGGUCAGUUGCUCAGAUUGUCAGAUCCCCUCAUAGAACUGCCUCUGUGGCGGUGCACUGUGACCAGGCUCUGGGCUGACUGGGAGGGGCAGGUGGCUCUCCGCUGUGGCAGAGUGUGUUACAGCCACCUAACAGCAGUUUUAUGUCUCUCUGGGCCCUGGGAGGUUGACCACUGCUGUGCCGACAACAACCGUCCCAGUCCCUCUCGGGGAUCACUGGGUGGCGGCAGGGGAUGGGGCACCCUGUUCCCGGUGCGACUAUUGACUGGAGUGGACUGUCCACAGUGCACCCCAACCGCAUCAGGCUGCCGGGUGGGCAGGGUUAUGAAGGGCACCAGGGGUCUGCAUUAAUGUUGGUUACCCACCGGACCUGUCUUGAAACAUGGACCAAGCAGUCUAAGACAUGCGUGAGUCGGAGGGCUGAACAAAACCCUUUGACGCAAUGAAGGUGAGGGCCGCGUGCACUGGCUGAGGUGGGGUCCUGUUGCAGCAAGCACUCAACUAGCCUGUUUCACCCACUCUGUCAUGAAGGUGGAGCAUGAGCGUGUGUGAUAGGACCCGAAAGAUGGCGAACCUUGCCUGGGCAGUGCAAAAUGAAGGGAAACUCUGGUGGAGGAAUGUAGCAGUCCUGAUGUGCAAAUCCGUCAUCCUACCUGGGUAUAUGGUCAAAAGACUAAUCAAACCAUCUAGUAGCUGGUUCCCUCCAAUGUUUACCAAGGAUAGUUGGUGCUUGGAAACACCAGUUUUAUCUACUGAUUGAAUGAUUAGAGGUCUUGGGGCCGAAACGAUCUUAACCUAUUCUCAAUCUUGAAAUGGGUAGAAGCCCGGCUCGCUGGCGUGGAGCCAGCCAUCGAUGGACCACUUUUGGUAAGCAGAACUGGUGCUGUAGGGUGAACAGAAUCCCAUGUUAAGGCGUACGAUGCUGCACUCUUCAGAUCAGGAAAAAGGUGUUAGUUGAUAACGAUAGCAGGAGAGUGGCCAUAGAAGUCGGAAUCUGCUAAGGAGUGUGUAACAACUCACCUGACAAAUUAACUAGCCCUGAAAAUGGAUGGUGCUGGAGCGUCAAACCCAUACCGGGCCAUCACCGGCAAUGAGUGCCACAGGUGCUAAGUCGCAACGAGUAGGAGGGUUUCUGCGGUUCAUACAUAAGCCUGGGCGAGGACCCGGUUGGAUCCGCUGCAGUGCAGAUCUUAGUGGUAGUAGCAAAUAUUCAAACGAUAAGUUUGACAGCCUAAAUGGAGAAGGGUUCCAUGUGAAAAGCAGUUGAACAUGGGCCAGUCGGCCCUAAGAGAUGGGUGAGCACCAUUCAAAAGGGAUGAGCAAUGGCCUCUGUUGCCCUCAACCGAUUGAAAGGGGGACAGGUUCAGAUCACCGAAACUGGAGUGGCAGAGAUGGGCGCCCUUGCGGCAUGCAGUGCACUAACGCCAACGAUCCUGGAGAAGCCAAUAUGAGCACCGGCGAGAAUACUCCUUUUCUUUAUGAAGGGCAGGGCACGCUGGAAUGGGUUCACCCUGAGAGAGGGGCCCAGGCCUUGAAAAGCGUUGAGGUACCACCUGCAUCCAAUGAGCUCUUGCUGGUCCAGGUAGAUAUUGUAAUCAUCGCGCCAGGCCAUACCCACAUCCGCAGCAGUUCUCCAAGUUGAACAGACUCUGACAUAUUGGAACAAUGUAGGUAAGGGAAGUUGGCAAGCCAGAUCAGUAACUUUUGGAUAAGGAUUAGCUCUAAGUGCUCUGUCGGUCAGUCUUCAGCGUUAAGUGGGUCUGGGCGCAUGCCGCAGCGGGAAGGAGAGUCUCUGCCAGGUGGGUAUGCCGAAUCUGGAUGUGAGCUGGGCCCUUCCUGUGGAUUGACCAGCUGCAGUGGUUGCUUCUCCAGUUCACCUCCUCGGCAUUUGGGCUGGCGAUCUGAUGCCUAGCAGCUGACUCAUAACUGGUUUGGUGAAUCUGACUACUUAAGUAAAGCAAAGCAUUGCAAAGGCUUGCUGCGGGUGUUCAAAUGAAGUGAUUUCAGCCCAGUGCCCUCAUGGGGAGUAACUCUAUUAAAAUAGCCAAAUCCCUCAUCAUCUAAUUAAUGACUCACAUGAAUGGAUGAACGAGAUGUCCUCUGUCCCUACCUACUAUCUAGCAAAACCACAGCCAAGGGAACGGUCUUGACAGAAUCAGCAGUGAUGGAAGACCAUGCUGGGCUUGACUCUAGUCUGCACUGUGAAGAGACAUGAGAGGUGUAGGAUAAGUGGAAGACCCUCAGGACACCAGUGAAUUACCAUUACUCUUAUGUUUUUACUCACCCAGUGAGACAGCGGGGUUGAGCCCUGUGGGCGUCUCACUUCUUGCUCCAAGCGCCCGGGGCCUGCUGGAUGCAACCCGCUCCAGGGACUGUAGCAGGUAGGGAAUUUGACUGGGGUGGUACACCUGUCAAAUGAUAAUGCAGGUUUCCUAAGGCAAGCUCAGGGAGGACAGAAACCUCCCACGGAGCAGAAGGGCAAAAGUUCACUUGAACUCGAUUUUUCAGACUUUCAAAGUGGGGCCUUACGAUCCUUUGGACAUUUUGGUUUUCAAGCAGGAGGUGUCAGAAAAUGUACCACAUGGAUGUGGCGGCCCAGCGUACACAGCAACAUUGAUUUUUGAUCAGCUCUUCCAAUCAUUGUGAAGUGGAAUUCACCAAGCAUUGGAUUGUUCACCCUCACCCUCUAGUAGGGAACAUGAGCAGGGUUUAGACCAUCGUGAGACAGGUCAGUUUUACCCUACUGAUGAUGUGUUGGUCCAAUAGUAAUUCUGCUUAGUACGAGAGGAACAUCAGGUUCAGACAUUUGGUGUGUGUGCUUUUCUGAUGAGCCAAUGUGGCACAACUACUAUCUGCAGGAGUAUGACUAAACGCCUCUAAGUCAGAAUCCACCCUAAACCGUAACGAUACCGCAGCACUGUGGAGCCUCGGAUGGCUUAGGAUCAUCAGCCUCUUGGGAGGUACACAGUUGCAGAGGCAGAUUUUGGUGCCAGAGGGAGCGGAUAAUAGGGCGCCAGUGGGAGGAUGGGGGCACACUGGUACACUGUGUUGUAGUGGCAGUUUUUAAA
rnacentral:rRNA from 1 species